GGUAGUCCACGCCCUAAACGAUGUCUACUAGUUGUCGGGUUUUAAUUAACUUGGUAACGCAGCUAACGCGUGAAGUAGACCGCCUGGGGAGUACGGUCGCAAGAUUAAAACUCAAAGGAAUUGACGGGGACCCGCACAAGCGGUGGAUGAUGUGGAUUAAUUCGAUGCAACGCGAAAAACCUUACCUACCCUUGACAUGGCAGAAAUCCUCGAGAGAUUGAGGAGUGCUCGAAAGAGAAUCUGCACACAGGUGCUGCAUGGCUGUCGUCAGCUCGUGUCGUGAGAUGUUGGGUUAAGUCCCGCAACGAGCGCAACCCUUGUCAUUAGUUGCUACGAAAGGGCACUCUAAUGAGACUGCCGGUGACAAACCGGAGGAAGGUGGGGAUGACGUCAAGUCCUCAUGGCCCUUAUGGGUAGGGCUUCACACGUCAUACAAUGGUACAUACAGAGCGCCGCCAACCCGCGAGGGGGAGCUAAUCGCAGAAAGUGUAUCGUAGUCCGGAUUGUAGUCUGCAACUCGACUGCAUGAAGUUGGAAUCGCUAGUAAUCGCGGAUCA
rnacentral:rRNA from 1 species